UUUUAUGGAGAGUUUGAUCCUGGCUCAGGAUGAACGCUGGCGGCGUGCCUAAUACAUGCAAGUCGAGCGAACGGACGAGAAGCUUGCUUCUCUGAUGUUAGCGGCGGACGGGUGAGUAACACGUGGAUAACCUACCUAUAAGACUGGGAUAACUUCGGGAAACCGGAGCUAAUACCGGAUAAUAUUUUGAACCGCAUGGUUCAAAAGUAAAAGACGGUCUUGCUGUCACUUAUAGAUGGAUCCGCGCUGCAUUAGCUAGUUGGUAAGGUAACGGCUUACCAAGGCAACGAUGCAUAGCCGACCUGAGAGGGUGAUCGGCCACACUGGAACUGAGACACGGUCCAGACUCCUACGGGAGGCAGCAGUAGGGAAUCUUCCGCAAUGGGCGAAAGCCUGACGGAGCAACGCCGCGUGAGUGAUGAAGGUCUUCGGAUCGUAAAACUCUGUUAUUAGGGAAGAACAUAUGUGUAAGUAACUGUGCACAUCUUGACGGUACCUAAUCAGAAAGCCACGGCUAACUACGUGCCAGCAGCCGCGGUAAUACGUAGGUGGCAAGCGUUAUCCGGAAUUAUUGGGCGUAAAGCGCGCGUAGGCGGUUUUUUAAGUCUGAUGUGAAAGCCCACGGCUCAACCGUGGAGGGUCAUUGGAAACUGGAAAACUUGAGUGCAGAAGAGGAAAGUGGAAUUCCAUGUGUAGCGGUGAAAUGCGCAGAGAUAUGGAGGAACACCAGUGGCGAAGGCGACUUUCUGGUCUGUAACUGACGCUGAUGUGCGAAAGCGUGGGGAUCAAACAGGAUUAGAUACCCUGGUAGUCCACGCCGUAAACGAUGAGUGCUAAGUGUUAGGGGGUUUCCGCCCCUUAGUGCUGCAGCUAACGCAUUAAGCACUCCGCCUGGGGAGUACGACCGCAAGGUUGAAACUCAAAGGAAUUGACGGGGACCCGCACAAGCGGUGGAGCAUGUGGUUUAAUUCGAAGCAACGCGAAGAACCUUACCAAAUCUUGACAUCCUUUGACAACUCUAGAGAUAGAGCCUUCCCCUUCGGGGGACAAAGUGACAGGUGGUGCAUGGUUGUCGUCAGCUCGUGUCGUGAGAUGUUGGGUUAAGUCCCGCAACGAGCGCAACCCUUAAGCUUAGUUGCCAUCAUUAAGUUGGGCACUCUAAGUUGACUGCCGGUGACAAACCGGAGGAAGGUGGGGAUGACGUCAAAUCAUCAUGCCCCUUAUGAUUUGGGCUACACACGUGCUACAAUGGACAAUACAAAGGGCAGCGAAACCGCGAGGUCAAGCAAAUCCCAUAAAGUUGUUCUCAGUUCGGAUUGUAGUCUGCAACUCGACUACAUGAAGCUGGAAUCGCUAGUAAUCGUAGAUCAGCAUGCUACGGUGAAUACGUUCCCGGGUCUUGUACACACCGCCCGUCACACCACGAGAGUUUGUAACACCCGAAGCCGGUGGAGUAACCUUUUAGGAGCUAGCCGUCGAAGGUGGGACAAAUGAUUGGGGUGAAGUCGUAACAAGGUAGCCGUAUCGGAAGGUGCGGCUGGAUCACCUCCUUUCUA
rnacentral:rRNA from 1 species